rnacentral:rRNA from 1 species
CCUACGGGAGGCAGCAGUGGGGAAUCUUAGACAAUGGGCGCAAGCCUGAUCUAGCCAUGCCGCGUGAGUGAUGAAGGCCCUAGGGUCGUAAAGCUCUUUCGCCUGUGAAGAUAAUGACUGUAGCAGG